rnacentral:lncRNA from 1 species
AUCUUGUUGGAGGUUCCUGUGUACCUGAGCUCUUUGAAGGACAUAGUGGAAGAUUGUGAAGACACUUCAAAAUAAGACUAAUUAGCCAGUGGGGAGAGAGAUCAUAUUAUGAUCUUCUGGUACCUAGCCUAGUUCUUUAAGAGCUAUCUGAUGUACAUGUUGCUUGUUGUUUUCCAUCUUCAGACCUAACCAUGCACAACCAAGAUAUGAGUGAAAAUGUCCAUAGCCAUCUCCAAAUGAGUAAAGGAAAAGUGAUUUUUUUUUUAACAGUCUUUCUACACAUUCCUACCUUUGAGCCACAUCAUGAACGGUUCUCUGUGCCAGCAGCUCUGCGUUCUUAAUUUGAAUAUGUAUGUAAAAUGGAUGACCCCCACCUUCCCACAGCUGUGCAACCAUUAUAACCUUAUAACUUCAAAUAAUGUUUUACAGCUGGGGUACAGGGCUGAAAUAAUACAUGUGGUUACUUCUUUCUGUAUGGUAUCUUUCAUUUACAGUAUGUGUCUGCUGUUCCUCAGUAGGGCAAAUAUUGACAUACGCUGUUUUGCUCCCCUUUAGCUCUUACACUUCCCUUUAACCAGAUGUAACAAACUCUUUUCUAAGCUAUUCUAUCUCUACUGCUAUAUAUGUUGACACCAAUAGACUUGUGAGUGAGUAGGCCUGUCAGCAGUGGAAACUUUUCUCCUCCAUUGCAAUUGGAAUAAGGACAUCUUUAUAUGGUUUUGUGUCCUACAACCCAAUAAUACAGUGCAGACCUCAGUGUCUGACUGCAAAAUACCAGUCUGUAAUUCCUCUAAUAAACUCAAACAAUG